AGCUUUGUGCAGUGGCGGUAUUGCAGCCAAUGAGAUUUACCAAGAUGCAAUCAUUACUAAGUGAACAUUUUCCCCAAUACCCUGCCAUGACAACUUGAAACAUAGUUGGCAUUGGCAAUUUUUGACAGUCUCUAUAAAGA